UUAGAAUCUUGAGGAUUAUUGUUACCAGUGCCUCCCAUUGAUCCUCCAAACAUCUGCAUCAUUGAUCGUAAUGCACCCGAUAAAUCUUCCGGCAUUUGCUCUGUGCCUCCGAGAUCUAUGUUGAUAUUUCCGCCUACAUGUAUCUCAGGCUCAUCUGCACCAUUUCUGGUACCAUCUCCACCUGCUCCUCCCUCGUUAUUGCGAGAAUGAUUUCCCGGGAAUGUGUUUCCCGCCAUGUUCAUGAACAUGCUCAUCAAAUCAGGGUUUACAGG